UUUCCAAAGUUGGGGAGGGGUAAGACAAUGGACAGAAAAGGAGAGGUGCAUAUUCUUAUGAGGAUUACAGCAUGGAGAGUGAGUGUGUGCCAAGUAUGGAAUGGAAAACCAAAUGCCCUCCUCAGAGUCAUCCACACACAGUUGUCUUAGACGUGGUGAAGUAUUGAAGAUUCCUCAGUUACCUCCUUAAGAAGCUUCUACACCCAUGUGGUAUCUAGCUUUAAGGACUCGCAAAGCGGGACGCAGGGAGAUGGUGCAAAAGGAGUCUAGGAAGUCAAGGCUGCUGUAGCUUCUUCUCUGCUAACCUCUUGUUUAGAUGCGGAAGAAAUGCCCAGGGUGCCAACAGGGCAGCCACCCACUAACUUUCCAGAGCAGGCUUUGCUUCUAUUUGAUCACAGGUGACUGCCAUCAUCCUUUUUAUUCGUUGAAGGAAGGCAAGAGAGUGACUUUGUUUUAUGUGAGGGCAAUAAACCAAAUAAAUGCCCCCAGAAACGAACAGUAGCAGCAAAAUAUCAUCUUGGAUGAAGCAAGACAUCUGAAGCUCACGCAAGCCAGUGGAAAAAUUCUGCGGGGUAAAAUGCUGUUUUUGUAUGGGGGUAAAAUACGCAAGGCCAAAGUGACGAAGAAAAAGAAAAAUAUUAGUGUCUUUCUUUGCUAAGCCUGUAUUCCCUCUAUCGAAGUAAAAAAUAAUAACCAACUACUCUAUGAAGAUUUAAUUGUCCCUAUAUUUAAAUGAGGGAGUAAGAUACAAUUUUUAAAUAUAAAGGGCAUCAGAUGGCAAGUCAGAAUCUCUACCACUACCGAUCAGUAGGCAUGUUCUAGGCCUUGCUGUAGCACGUAGUAGCCAUAUGUCCCUGGCAAAGGCACUAUCAGGGCAUUAAUUUCCUCAUCUGUAAAAGUCACAUAAUAAUUGCUCUUCAUUAAAGGGCACCUCAUAAUUAACUCUUCAGACUAAUGUGUGAAGCAAGUAAGAAGGUGGUAUUCUUAUUUCUGGAAACAUGUUGACCUCACAGGUAUUUGAAUUCAGAAUACUCUAAACCACAAAUUCACACUUAAAAAUCAAAUCUUUUCACCAUGGACCCAAAUUGCCAUUCUGAUACUGCGUGUUGGCUUCCAUAGGGCAAAUACACACACCAGUUGGGUAGGGAAGCGAGUGGCCUGAUCUCAGCAAAUCUGAGUCCCUUCUAGGUAUUGGAGCUUACCUCUUGAACUAGGGAAGGAGUUGUUGAGUUGCUCCAUCACCUCCUCUAACCCUGUGCUUGUGUCCUGGGGAGGACUGAGAAGAUCUUCCUCACCUUAAAGCAAAAACAAAUAAUGGAAAAUUACAUUUAAACAAAACAGAUAUUAAAGAAAAGGGCCAUGAUUACAUUUUUAACACCAUUAUAAAUUCAUUUCACUUGCUCAUAAAUAACAAAAAAACCCCUCAAGCUUAAUAAUGAGGAAGUAAUUCUUUAAAGGGAAGAAGAAUUCCAUACAAUAGUUUAUCUAUAUCAUUACCCUUGGAGAAAAAAAAAAAAACAACUGUAUAUCUUUUUUUUUUUUUUUUGAGAUGGAGUCUUGCUCUGUCACCCAGGCUGGAGUGCAGUGGCACAAUCCUGGCUCACUGCAACCUCCACCUCCCAGGUUCAAACAAUUCUUCUGCCUCAGCCUCCCGAGUAGCUGGGACUACAGGCAUGCACCACCGUGUCCAGCUAAUUUUUGUAUUUUUAGUAGAGACAGGGUUUCACCAUAUUGGCCAGGCUGGUCUCGAACUCCUGACCUCAUGAUCCGCCCACCUCAGCCUCCCAAAGUGCUGGGAUUACAGGCGUGAGCCACCACGCCCGGCCUACUGUGUAUCUUUUUAAAAGUUGACUAGAAGAAUUACUUGAAAUGUGCCCCGCACAUAGAAAUGAUAAAUACAUGAGAUAAUGAAUACUCUAAAUACCCUGACUUGAUCAUUACACAUUCUGUGUAUGCAACAAAAUAUCACAUGCACUCCAUAAAUAUGUACAAAUAUUAUACUUCAGUAAAAAACAGGCUGGGUGCAGUUGCUCAUGCCUGUAAUCCCAGCCCUUUGGGAAGCCGAGGUGGGAGGAUUCUUUGUUUAUUGCCAGGAAUAUGAGAGCAGCUUGGGCAACAUAGUGAGACUCUGUCUCUAUUAAAAAAAAAAAAAAAAACCAAAAAAUAAAUUUAAAAAUUAAAAAGAAGUAAAAAAAAGUCAAUUUAAAAAGGUAAAACUGACAAACUCUCUUUGAUGCCCCAUUAACAAAUGUGAAACUUUGUUCUAUGGAGUAAGUAUUACUGCACACUCCUCAACACAAAAGAGUAAGAAUUGAACACUUUGCAGUCACUUCAUGAAGGUAAGAAGGGAGUUGAGACACUGAGGUCUUUUUUUCACUCUUUCUUUUGACAUUUAACCAAAAAUACAAAUGAAACUCAAGUACCCUUAAACUCCAAUGUAAUAGAAAUAAAAAUAGUAUGUGUCCUAUAUAGGUAAUGAGAUAUGAAUAUUCUAAAAACUGUAGAUAAUGGCAUAUAUUGGAGAGUUAUGGUCCUUUCCUCUUUGUUACUUGGGACUACUUGAUCAUAAUUAUGUUUUGGGUUUUAUAAAGAAGACAUUACAAAAAUUUAGACUGUUUAUGUGAGGAGAGAAGAAUGAUCUGGAAGCAAAGAAACCUAUGGAUGGAUGAUAUUCACUGGGAAUGGAAAUCUUGUAGAUUUUGUGGAUCUGUGUCUCUAUUGUUUGUUCAUGUGUUAAAGAAAUACACUUCAAAUAGCAUUUCCAAGUAAAAGGGAAAUUUCUUAGGUGCAAACAAAAUUAAACUCUAAAGGUCCUUUGAAACUAAUUUUUCAUAAUAUACAACCUUCCAAUAGUGAAAAUAACUUCUAUUCAAGCUCUUUUUGCACAUUGUCACUUCCAUCUGAAACAAGACCUUGCUUUAGCAAGUCUACCAUAAUGAACUUGCUUAGAGACAACCUCAGGUUUACAUCUGACUUGGAACUGCUUCGGAAGCCAGUGACUAAAUGACUUAAAUAUGCUUCUCAUUUCCUUUGGUCUAUGCCACUUGGAUUUUCAUGUAUGAUUAUAAUCCUGCAUUUAUUCCUUGUUUUUUUUUUUUUAACAGCAGAAGCUAAAAGAAUCAUUGCCAAUGCUAAUCAUUAAGACAAAAUCAUAUCCUAGGUGGAUGUGAGGCUUCAUAUUUUUAUUAGAAUGGAGGGAUAAGAACGUAAGGUCGAUAAAAAGCCUCAGACUACGUGAGUCUCCUGGUAACAUACCACGGGAAACCUCUUUGCAAUAUUAAGUACAGGAAAUGGGUGCUGAAGAAUUAAGGUCACAAAGCAGAAAAGGAAUAGUUACAAACUCUUUCUCUGUCUCCUCCUCCCCCCUCACACACAUGCACUAUUUGCUUAAGUUUAUACCUUUAGAAAAAGAAGUGAAAUUCAGUAUUUUUUAGUUUCAUUUUUCUUGCGGUUUUAAACUACCAUUAUCUGGUGAAGAUGAAGUGAAUGAAAUACUACCAAGAGGAUCAAGAUCCUGACAACUGCAGGGCUGACUGAUUACAUCUCUCUGUUCCAUUACUGAUGCAAAUUUUUGCUGAACUGGGAAACACGAGGCAUUUUUAAUGGCAGUAAGUCCACUUUAGUGACUGACAGUAUGCCUUACCGAAUAAAUCGGAACCAAGAGAACAUCAUGAACGACGCUCAUGAACAUUGAUGUUAAUAUUUCUGACAGUUUAAUUACAUCAUAUUGGAGCUCUAGGAACUCAAUUGUACUGUGUUAAAAUUCAGGUACAGUUCAAUGAAGUGACUGGCAUUCCUGUUCCUGAAUUAUUUCAAAGAUCAAAUUAUAAAGUAUAAACCUAAUGAUGUCAGCCAAGUUUAUCUUUCCAGAUAAACUCUCUGUGAGUCUUUAAUAUGAGUGUCCAAGUAUAAUACAAAUGUAAAAUUGGCUUAUUUGCUUUAAUGGAAAACUUUUAUAGCAGUGAUAAUUGUAUCCAUUCAGACAUUUUUCUGAGUGCCUGUUACAUUCUAGGUAGUAUAAAAACAAGUAGAGUAUAAUCUUGUUU